UACGUAGGGGGCAAGCGUUGUCCGGAAUCAUUGGGCGUAAAGAGCGUGUAGGCGGCCCGAUAAGUCCGCUGUGAAAGUCCAGGGCUCAACCCUGGGAUGCCGGUGGAUACUGUCGGGCUCGAGUCCGGAAGAGGAGUGUGGAAUUCCUGGUGUAGCGGUGAAAUGCGUAGAGAUCGGGAGGAACAUCGGUGGCGAAGGCGGCCUGCUGGGCAGUAGCUGACGCUGAGGCGCGACAGCGUGGGGAGCAAACAGG
rnacentral:rRNA from 1 species